CGCGUAGGAACCUGCCCAGUAGUGGGGAGUAGCCCGGUCGAAACCGGAACGUUAAUUAACCGCAUACACUCUACGGAGGGAAAGGGGGCGUUCGGCUCUCGCUAUUGGAAUGGGCCGUGCGUGAGAUUAGCUAGUUGGUGAGGUAAUGGCUCACCAAGGCGACGAUCUCUAGCUGGUCUGAGAGGAUGAUCAGCCACACUGGGACUGAGACACGGCCCAGACUCCUACGGGAGGCAGCAGUGGGGAAAUAUUGCACAAUGGGCGCAAGCCUGAUGCAGCCAUGCCGCGUGUGUGAAAGAA
rnacentral:rRNA from 1 species